AAUGGAGGAAACUCUGAUGCAGCGACGCCGCGUGAGUGAUGAAGGCCUUCGGGUCGUAAAGCUCUGUCGCAGGGGAAUAAGCAAGUGAAUGUACCCUGAAAGAAAGGAUCGGCUAACUUCGUGCCAGCAGCCGCGGUAAGACGAGGGAUCCUAGCGUUGUUCGGAAUUAUUGGGCGUAAAGCGGGUGUAGGUGGCUUUGUAAGUCAGGUGUGAAAGCCCAGGGCUCAACCCUGGAAGUGCAUUUGAUACUGCGAAGCUUGAGUGUAGGAGAGGUUACUAGAAUUCUUGGUGUAGUGGUGAAAUACGUAGAUAUCAAGAGGAAUACCGGAGGCGAAAGCGGGUAACUGGCCUAACACUGACACUCAGACCCGAAAGCGUGGGGAUCAAA
rnacentral:rRNA from 1 species